GAGGGUACAGCUCAGUAGUAGAGCACGUGCUUAGCAUGCACAAGGUCCUGGGUUCAAUCCCCAGUAGCUCCA
rnacentral:tRNA from 1 species